UAAGGAAUAUUGGUCAAUGGACGCAAGUCUGAACCAGCCAUGCCGCGUGAAGGAUGAAGGUCCUCUGGAUUGUAAACUUCUUUUAUCUGGGACGAAAACGGGAUUUUUAUCUCAAUUGACGGUACCAGAGGAAUAAGCACCGGCUAACUCCGUGCCAGCAGCCGCGGUAAUACGGAGGGUGCGAGCGUCAUCCGGAUUUACUGGGUUUAAAGGGUGCGUAGGUGGGCAGGUAAGUCAGUGGUGAAAUCUCCGGGCUUAACCCGGAAACUGCCGUUGAUACUAUUUGUCUUGAAUAUUGUGGAGGUAAGCGGAAUAUGUCAUGUAGCGGUGAAAUGCUUAGAUAUGACAUAGAACACCAAUUGCGAAGGCAGCUUACUACACAAUCAUUGACGCUGAGGCACGAAAGCGUGGGGAUCAAACA
rnacentral:rRNA from 1 species